rnacentral:misc_RNA from 1 species
CUGUAUCAACAAAACCAACAGAAGAAUCCAGAUUAGAUCAAAAUGUGCCUAUGUGAAUCCAAAUAAGUAUUCUGACCCCAUUAUUCUUUGGCAAAUAAAGAGAUGAUAAAGCAUGCUAGUAAUGAACUGAUACAAAUUACCUAAAAGGGAAAGUAAAGGGUACCAGAAGGAUCGCCUAAGCUGAGAUAUGCAACUUCUUAUACACAUUUGCCUCAAAUUGAGUCCUCUUGAUAAUUUCAGUGAUGUCUUUUUCGUUUAUAGUAAUGAUCGUCUUCGUCACCAUCCUCAUCUGACCCACUGACCAUCUGCCACCUUUCACGACUCAGCUCAUUAUUCAUAGACCUUGAAUUAUGCCUAGAAUGUCUUGAUCCAUGACUGGAAUCUCUCUCUUUCCAUUGUGCUUUAUGAUCACUGGAUAAGCUUUGUUGCAAACCAGAUUCUGAUUGGCUAUGAUGUUUCUGCUUGUCUCUUUUGCCUUCAGAACCAACUCUCUUUCUUUUAACAUCUUUUGUUUUACUACUUUGAUGUUGACGUUGACCGUGACUA